ACAUUGAAGAGAAGAAGUGGACUUGAGAAGUAAAAGAUGGCUGCUGUUGGUGAAAGAAUUCAAAGGAGAAGAAAGCGUUCAUUUAGAGCGAAAAUGAGCAAAAAGACCAAUUCACAGGCGAGCGAAACUAGCUAAGUUUGAGCAAGAAGAAAUAGGCGCAAAACGGCAAAAUAGUCAUUCCAUAAGCGGGUGAUACAUGGAGCCUAGGCGUGGAUAAGGGACAACCAGCUAAGUCCUCAUAGAAGUGUGAUGGCAGACAAUUUACUUUCUCAGGGUUAUCACUUCCGGUGGACUAUAUGGAGCAGUGGGUGCCUCGAGUAAAUCCAAUUGUUACCAAAACUCUAUUUUGAGAGAAACAUUUCUCUCAUCAUCAUCCUGUUAUGAAAUUAAGAGAGGUGAAGAAAGAGAGGCGCCGUUAUCUGAAACCAUUUCAGGUUCUUUCCGAAAAGUGAAAUUUGAGAGACAGUGAUUUAAUGGGCUAUGAAGGGUGAAGAUCUAAUAACUCAGAUCUAGAACCAGAGAUGAAAAAGGAGCAGUUGGAGUUAGGGUUUGCUGAAAAUGGAGAAAUUGAAGCGCUGUAAUGAAUUACUGAGUUGGGUUGAGCUCGAUUUGAGAUAUUGAUGUUCCUGCUACCAAGAAUUGAAAAGGAAUGGCAGGUCAGAUCUGUGGUUCAGGUGGGAUUUUGAGCUGAAAUUCAGGUGGAAAGAAGCUGUUGACAUGGCAUUUAUUGGAUGUUUGUGUGAAUCUGUGACUCGAAUUAGUGUGGUGGUUGCAGCUCCAGAUUGCAAGCUGAUUUGCGUUCGAAAUAGUGAACAUCUAAUGGAGUUUGAAGACCAACUGGACCAGAGAAGAUGAUGAUGCUUUUGUUGAUAAUGGGGACCGAAUGUGAGGGUUUAUGAAUGUAUGAUGAUAUCUAUAAACAUCACAGCGUACUCAUCUCCAGCACCACCAGGUCGUGCACACAACUUUUUCAGGUAAUUGCUUGAAUGAACUUUUCAUUAUCACUUCAAGCUAAUUAAAUCUGGGGAUACAAGGGUUUGUUUGAAUGGGUAUUUCACAUGAGUUUUGGUGGCUGUAUGUUGAAGAUUUGGUGGACUUCCAAAACGAACUUAGUUGAGAAGAGAAUAAGAAGACAAAGGAACUUAGCAAGGGGAUGAUUAUGUACAAAAUUGGUGUCGUCUGAGUUCUUGAAGGAAGCUACAGCUACAGGCAGAGUAGAGGUGCAACUGGUGCAAGUGAUAUGCAGCUACAGGUGGUGUGUGAGAUGGAGUUCUGGAUGGAUGUUGUGCGGCCGAAGUGCUGAACGGAGAGCAAUGAUGGUGUUUUAAAGAUGAAAACAGCAGGAGUUGGUUUGCAGGCAUGUGUAGCUGCAAGUUGAAGUGAUUUUGUUGGCCUAAAAAGAGAAUGGCAGCUGAGCUGCAAGUGCUGGUUGCAGUGCAACUGGUGCUGGUGGGUUGUGUUGUAGGAAUGGAGUAAGAAUGGCUAGGUCAUGAUGGAGCAAAUGAUGUUGCAGCUGUAAUCUGGUGGUAUGGAUGUAAAGAAGUUUGAGACAUUACAAGUGAUACUUGUGGUAUGGGAGCAGAAGACGAUGAUUAUCAUGGUUUUGGUACAAAGAUCAUAGUGGAAGGAGAACACAACAAAUAAAACAAGGCCGAGCUCGAAUUGCAGGUGCAGAACACGAAAUACAAGAGAUGGGUUCAUGAGAAAGGAAGAUGCAGCAAAGGUAGUGAUUGCACAGGUUCUGAUGAGUUCCAAGGCUGAGAAGAACGAGGAUAUGAUGCUGCCAAAGGUGAAAUCAGUUCGGUUUGAUAUUGGAGUUUUGAAGACUUCUGCUGUUACAGAUGAAUGUAACUGGUGGUGUUAACUGUUGUCAUCAGUUGAGAACAACAACAACAUGGUUUGGAGAUUGAGGCUGUAAAUGACAGAACCGGUGAUGGAGACAAUGAAGUUGCAGUCGGUGGUGCCCGAGGUGAAUAUACUGAUGGUCCUGGUGGUGUUUCAUGAUGAAGUGGUCUACUAAUGAAGCUGUAUGGUGUUUACAGUGAAGAAUUAAGUAGUAACACCUGUUUGGUUGUUUGCUGAUGCAAGGAUGGUGCUGCGUGUGAUGCAUUGCAAGUGGUUGAAGCUGAAGUGAGCAUUUAGAUGUAUGCUAGGAAUGUUACAGGGAAUGAGAUAUGAAAUGGCCUGAAUUUGGCCAGGAAAUUGUCCUAAAACAGACGGAAUUCUGCCGGAAAUUAAUUCUGCUGAGUUCACUCAAUGAUCCGAUCUGACUCAGCUGACCCAGUUCGACUCGGAUGGACUUGGAUCUGUCUUGAUUGGGCUUCACUUAUGGGAUAUUUAAAGGACUGGAUUUUGGCAAAGGGUGCGACCUAAAAUUUGGAUUCAGAAAUCGACAAGGCAGAGAGUAUAUAAAAGGGAUAUCUCUUUACACAUAUUUUAUCUCUUCUUCUACUUUUGUUCUAAGGUUUAGACAUGAAAACCUUUCUUUUUCUUCUUGUUAUGAACUCCUUGCAUGAGUAGUUAAUUUUAUUAUUGGUUUC